AGAUUGAACGCUGGCGGCGUGCCUAACACAUGCAAGUCGAGCGGUAACAGGUGUAGCAAUACAUGCUGACGAGCGGCGAACGGGUGAGUAAUGCUUCGGAAUCUACCCACGGGUGGGGAAUAGCCCGGAGAAAUCCGGAUUAAUACCGCAUAUGCCUACGGGUAAAGGACGGGGAGUCGUAAGACCUCGCGCUGGUGGAGUGAGCCUACGUCCGACUUAGCUGGUUGGUGGGGUAACGGGUCCCGACCCAACGGCGACGAUCGGUAGCUGGUCUGAGAGGAUGAUCAGCCACACUGGGACGUGAGAC
rnacentral:rRNA from 1 species